rnacentral:rRNA from 1 species
GUCGAACGGCAGCAUGAUCUAGCUUGCUAGAUUGAUGGCGAGUGGCGAACGGGUGAGUAAUACAUCGGAACGUGCCCUGUAGUGGGGGAUAACUAGUCGAAAGAUUAGCUAAUACCGCAUACGACCUGAGGGUGAAAGUGGGGGACCGCAAGGCCUCAUGCUAUAGGAGCGGCCGAUGUCUGAUUAGCUAGUUGGUGAGGUAAAGGCUCACCAAGGCGACGAUCAGUAGCUGGUCUGAGAGGACGAUCAGCCACACUGGGACUGAGACACGGCCCAGACUCCUACGGGAGGCAGCAGUGGGGAAUUUUGGACAAUGGGCGAAAGCCUGAUCCAGCAAUGCCGCGUGUGUGAAGAAGGCCUUCGGGUUGUAAAGCACUUUUGUCCGGAAAGAAAUGGCUCUGGUUAAUACCUGGGGUCGAUGACGGUACCGGAAGAAUAAGGACCGGCUAACUACGUGCCAGCAGCCGCGGUAAUACGUAGGGUCCAAGCGUUAAUCGGAAUUACUGGGCGUAAAGCGUGCGCAGGCGGUUGUGCAAGACCGAUGUGAAAUCCCCGAGCUUAACUUGGGAAUUGCAUUGGUGACUGCACGGCUAGAGUGUGUCAGAGGGGGGUAGAAUUCCACGUGUAGCAGUGAAAUGCGUAGAGAUGUGGAGGAAUACCGAUGGCGAAGGCAGCCCCCUGGGAUAACACUGACGCUCAUGCACGAAAGCGUGGGGAGCAAACAGGAUUAGAUACCCUGGUAGUCCACGCCCUAAACGAUGUCAACUAGUUGUUGGGGAUUCAUUUCCUUAGUAACGUAGCUAACGCGUGAAGUUGACCGCCUGGGGAGUACGGUCGCAAGAUUAAAACUCAAAGGAAUUGACGGGGGACCCGCACAAGCGGGGGAUGAUGUGGAUUAA